GGUCAUAUGUCUUUUUCCUUCUACUUAUGCGGUUCCUAAACCACUUCAGUGACCAUCAUUCCAGGCCAGGAUCACUGAGGACUGUGAAACCCAGCAUGGAGUCAAUGGGGAUUGGGAUACUCAUGGGAUUCAAAGCAAGGGACUGCCUUUCCCUGGGAAGAUCUGCCCAAGAUCUGCCCAGUGCCGGGUGCCAUGAGGGAUGGAGCAAGCUGACAUCGAAUACCUACUGAUUUUAUCUGUCACCAGAUGAAAGGAGACCUGCCUGUUAAGUGCCUGGAAGAAGAGUGGGCAGGAACACCUGGCUCUGGAUGCAGAAGCAAGUUUGCCAUCCGUGCACUCAGGAGGCUGAGCCUGGGGUAGUGCUGAGC
rnacentral:lncRNA from 1 species